CAAUAGCGUAUAUUAAAGUUGUUGCAGUUAAAACGCUCGUAGUCGGAUUUCGGGGCGGGUCCGCCGGUCUGUCGAUGGGUACGCACUGGCGGGCGCGUCCUUCCUUCCGGAGACUGGCCCUACUCUUAGCUGAGCGGGGUCGGGAGUCGGAUCGUUUACUUUGAAAAAAUCAGAGUGUUUCAAGCAGGCAGCUCGCUCUUGCAUGGAUUAGCAUGGGAUAAUGAAAUAGGACUUUGGUGCUAUUUUGUUGGUUUCGAACACCGAAGUAAUGAUUAACAGGGACAGUCAGGGGCACUCGUAUUCCGCCGAGAGAGGUGAAAUUCUCAGACCAGCGGAAGACGAACCACUGCGAAAGCAUUUGCCAGGGAUGUUUUCACUGA
rnacentral:rRNA from 1 species